GUGGGGAAUUUUGAACAAUGGGCGAAAGCCUGAUCCAGCCAUGCCGCGUGUGUGAAGAAGGUCUUCGGAUUGUAAAGCACUUUAAGUUGGGAGGAAGGGUAGUAACCUAAUACGUUGCUACUUUGACGUUACCGACAGAAUAAGCACCGGCUAACUUCGUGCCAGCAGCCGCGGUAAUACGAAGGGUGCAAGCGUUAAUCGGAAUUACUGGGCGUAAAGCGCGCGUAGGUGGUUCAGUAAGUUGGAAGUGAAAUCCCCGGGCUCAACCUGGGAACUGCUUUCAAAACUGCUGAGCUAGAGUACGGUAGAGGGUGGUGGAAUUUCCUGUGUAGCGGUGAAAUGCGUAGAUAUAGGAAGGAACACCAGUGGCGAAGGCGACCACCUGGACUGAUACUGACACUGAGGUGCGAAAGCGUGGGGAGCAAACAGGAUUAGAAACCCUUGUAGUCC
rnacentral:rRNA from 1 species